GAUGAACGCUGGCGGCGUGCCUAAUGCAUGCAAGUCGAGCGAAUGGAUUAAGAGCUUGCUCUUAUGAAGUUAGCGGCGGACGGGUGAGUAACACGUGGGUAACCUGCCCAUAAGACUGGGAUAACUCCGGGAAACCGGGGCUAAUACCGGAUAACAUUUUGAACCGCAUGGUUCGAAAUUGAAAGGCGGCUUCGGCUGUCACUUAUGGAUGGACCCGCGUCGCAUUAGCUAGUUGGGGAGGUAACGGCUCACCAAGGCAACGAUGCGUAUCCGACCUGAGAGGGUGAUCGGCCACACUGGGACUGAGACACGUCCCAGACUCCUACGGGAGGCAGCAGUAGGGAAUCUUCCGCAAUGGACGAAAGUCUGACGGAGCAACGCCGCGUGAGUGAUGAAGGCUUUCGGGUCGUAAAACUCUGUUGUUAGGGAGGAACAAGUGCUAGUUGAAUAAGCUGGCACCUUGACGGUACCUAACCAGAAAGCCACGGCUAACUACGUGCCAGCAGCCGCGGUAA
rnacentral:rRNA from 1 species